UGCCUUUAACUGAAUAAUUAUUUGUCAUAUUUAGGACAAGUGCUUGUCUUGUGAACACCGGCCUCAGUACACUGAAGAUCUAAGAAAACACUUCACACCCUACAACCCCUAAAAAUAACCCAGAUUUGACAGCAGUGCACACCCAUCUGAGGCCGAU